CUCAGGACGAACGCUGGCGGCGUGCUUAACACAUGCAAGUCGAGCGGAGAAUAUAGCAAUAUAUUCUUAGCGGCGGACGGGUGAGUAACGCGUGGGUAACCUGCCUUUUACAGGGGGAUAACACUGGGAAACUAGUGCUAAUACCGCAUAAAAUAGUGAAGUGGCAUCACUUUACUAUCAAAGGAGCAAUCCGGUAAAAGAUGGACCCGCGUCCGAUUAGCUAGUUGGAGGGGUAACGGCCCACCAAGGCGACGAUCGGUAGCCGAACUGAGAGGUUGAUCGGCCACAUUGGGACUGAGACACGGCCCAGACUCCUACGGGAGGCAGCAGUGGGGAAUAUUGCGCAAUGGGGGGAAAAACCCCCUGACGCAGCAACGCCGCGUGAAGGAUGAAGGUUUUCGGAUUGUAAACUUCUGUCCUUGGUGAAGAGAAGAAGACGGUAGCCAAGGAGGAAGCCCCGGCUAACUACGUGCCAGCCGCUGC
rnacentral:rRNA from 1 species